rnacentral:rRNA from 1 species
GACGAACGCUGGCGGCGUGCUUAACACAUGCAAGUCGAACGGAAAGGCCCUGCUUUUGUGGGGUGCUCGAGUGGCGAACGGGUGAGUAACACGUGAGUAACCUGCCCUUGACUUUGGGAUAACUUCAGGAAACUGGGGCUAAUACCGGAUAGGAGCUCCUGCUGCAUGGUGGGGGUUGGAAAGUUUCGGCGGUUGGGGAUGGACUCGCGUGGUAUCAGCUAGUUGGUGGGGUAGUGGCCGACCAAGGCGAUGAAGGAUAGCUGGGCUGAGAGGAGGAUCAGCCACACUGGGACUGAGACACGGCCCAGACUCCGACGGGAGGCAGCAGUGGGGAAUAUUGGACAAUGGGCGAAAGCCUGAGCCAGCAAUGCCGCGUGAGUGAUGAAGGCCUUAGGGUUGUAAAGCUCUUUUACACGGGAUGAUAAUGACAGUACCGGGAGAAUAAGCUCCGGCUAACUCCGUG